AAUAGUGGCGCACGGGUGCGUAACGCGUAACCAACCUACCUGAAUCUGGGGGAUAGCCCGCCGAAAGGCGGAUUAAUACCGCAUAAAACUGCAAUUUGGCAUCAAGUAACAGUUAAAGAUUUAUUGGAUUCAGAUGGGGUUGCGUGCCAUUAGCUAGUUGGGGAGGUAACGGCUCACCAAGGCGACGAUGGCUAGGGGAGCUGAGAGGCUGGUCCCCCACACGGGCACUGAGAUACGGGCCCGACUCCUACGGGAGGCAGCAGUAGGGAAUAUUGGGCAAUGGUCGAGAGACUGACCCAGCCAUGCCGCGUGCAGGAUGAAGGCUUUCUGAGUCGUAAACUGCUUUUAUCAGGGAAGAAUAAAGGGCAUGCGUGCUCUACUGACGGUACCUGAUGAAUAAGCACCGGCUAACUCCGUGCCAGCAGCCGCGGUAAUACGGAGGGUGCAAGCGUUGUCCGGAUUUAUUGGGUUUAAAGGGUGCGUAGGCGG
rnacentral:rRNA from 1 species